GGGGAUAUGGCGAAAUCGGUAGACGCUACGGACUUAAUUGAAUUGAGCCUUGGUAUGGAAACCCACUAAGUGAUAACUUUCAAAUUCAGAGAAACCCUGGAAUUAAUAAAAAGGGGCAAUCCUGAGCCAAAUCCCGUUUUCCGAAACCAAAGGUUCAGAAAGUGAAAAAAGGAUAGGUGCAGAGACUCAACGGAAGCUGUUCUAACAAAUGGAGUUGGCUGCGUUAGUAGAGAAAUCUUUCCAUCUAAAAUUCCGAAAGGAUAAAGUGACGGAUAAACGUAUAUAUACGUAUUGAAUACUAUAUCAAAUGAUUAAUCACGACUCGACUGAAUCUGUAUUUUUUAUGUGAAAGCGGAAGAAUUGGUGUGAAUAGAUUCCACAUUGAAGAAAGAAUCGAAUAUUCAUUGAUCAAAUGAUUCACUCCAUAGUCUGAUAGAUCUUUUCAAGAAUUGAUUAAUCGGACGAGAAUAAAGAUAGAGUCCCGUUCUACAUGUCAAUGUCGGCAACAAUGAAAUUUAUAGUAAGAGGAAAAUCCGUCGACUUUAAAAAUCGUGAGGGUUCAAGUCCCUCUAUCCCCAA
rnacentral:ncRNA from 1 species